GUGAAGAGUCAGGUUGUUUGGUAUUGCAGCCUAAAGUUGGAGGUAAAUCUCUCCUAAAGCUAAAUAUUGACGAAAGACCGAUAGCGAACAAGUACCGUGAGGGAAAGAUGAAAAGCACUUUGAAAAGAGGGUCAAAAAGUACGUGAAAUUGCUGAAAGGGAACCGUAUGAAAUCAGCUUGUCUUUUUGGUAAUCAACCUGGACUUCGGUCUGGGUGCACUUGCCAGUGAGACAGCCUGCGACAAUUCGAUUUGGAGGAAAAAAUUAUUGGGAAUGUGGCCUCUGCCUUUGGUUGAGGUGUUAUAGCCCUUUAAAAAAUACUCUGGGUUGGAUUGAGGACUGCAGCGAGCUCCCUCGGGGGCAUGGGUUAUGGGCGCUUUGCUUCGGUAAAAGGGAAAUCUCUACUUCGGGUAGUGUCUUUUUUAUCGAGGUAAACUCGCCUAUAUUCCCUUUUUCUCGCUUAGGUCGUAGGCAUAAUGAUUUUAUAUGACC
rnacentral:rRNA from 1 species